UACGAAGGGGGCUAGCGUUGCUCGGAAUUACUGGGCGUAAAGGGUGCGUAGGCGGUUUGGUAAGUCUUGUGUGAAAUCUACAGGCUCAACUUGUAGUCUGCACGAGAAACUGCCGGGCUUGAGUGUGGGAGAGGUGAGUGGAAUUCCUGGUGUAGCGGUGAAAUGCGUAGAUAUCAGGAGGAACACCUGUGGCGAAAGCGGCUCACUGGACCAUAACUGACGCUGAUGCACGAAAGCUAGGGGAGCAAACAGG
rnacentral:rRNA from 1 species